rnacentral:rRNA from 1 species
GUAGGUGGCAAGCGUUGUCCGGAAUUAUUGGGCGUAAAGCGCGCGCAGGCGGUCCCUUUAAGUCUGAUGUGAAAGCCCACGGCUCAACCGUGGAGGGUCAUUGGAAACUGGGGGACUUGAGUACAGAAGAGGAAAGCGGAAUUCCAAGUGUAGCGGUGAAAUGCGUAGAGAUUUGGAGGAACACCAGUGGCGAAGGCGGCUUUCUGGUCUGUAACUGACGCUGAGGCGCGAAAGCGUGGGGAGCAAACAGGAUUAGAUACCCUGGUAGUCCACGCCGUAAACGAUGAGUGCUAAGUGUUAGGGGGUUUCCCGCCCCCCUUAGUGCUGCAGCUAACGCAUUAAGCACUCCGCCUGGGGGAGUACGGCCGCAAGGCUG